CUCGAGCGAAGCCUCCAGAUCGCUUCGCCGCCGCCCUCGCACUCCCAUCAGGCGACUCGCAAUCCAGUCCUUCGUCACAGCCCUCGCGCUCGCAUCAAGGAUCGAGGCCUCCAAUGGCCGCCGCGGAUCCCUUCGACGGCGCCGAACCCCUUGAGGAGCCGUUCGCCGAUCCCCUUCAGGAGCCGGCGCUGAUCCAGGCCGCCGCCACCUAUGCAGAACCGGCAGGGUGCUAGGAACCACCGACAAAGAGCAGACUCAUCCUCGUGGCCAGGGUCUCCGCGGUCCGCAUCGGCGUCGGUGUCGUCUACAGCUCCAUCAGGCUCGACAUCCUCAAGGCUUGCUCAGAGGAUAGUGCAAGGAGAUGUCCCACAAGCACUGACAAAUUGUCGACUAAUUACCAAUUGACAUGGGUGCUUUGAUUGCCGGUGCAAAAUAUCGAGGAAAAUUUGAGGAUAGGCUUAAAUAAGACGCAGAUUCUGAUGGACAGGUCAUUCUCUUCAUUGAGGAGAUUCACACUGUUGUUGGAGCAGCUAACAAGAUACAUGAAUCGUUAUUGCUUUGACUCAUGAAAUCAUGAGAUAUUUUUUCCUUAUUUCUUACACUAACUUCCUACAUGUUUUAUUUGAUAAUGACAUUUACCUCUUUUUCCUUAAAGAUGGCAUGCAUAGGCUAAAAAUUGAGGAUUAGACUGAUCUAUUUACUCAAUAAGUUUUACCAAACAUGUGAUGGUUGUGCUGGGGCUACUGUUUUUGUUCAGCAUAAAAAAAGGGCUGCUUGGCUGCACCAGUUCCAUGUAGCUAAUAAACUGUGGGACAACAUUUUUUCGGAAUCUCCAGCAUUUGAUUCAUUUUGGGUGCUGUAUGUGAAAUAGUAAGAUUUAUGGAUACUGGGAUGCAUCAACGCAAUUUUACAGCCUUAGUCUAUAAUCUGGUUGAUGAUUGUUACAUAGAUAAACUCCUGAUUCUUCCAUACAACAAAACAGUUCGUCAGUUGUUUUACUCAUGUAUUCUCACAUAAUAUUUUUUUGCUGAGUUAGAAAAAUAAUGCAUAACAUGUUGAUUACAAUACUGUGCCAGCUUGUCAGAGAUGGCAAAGCUGUUCUAUGCAGGGUACGCCUCCGAGCUAGCCGAUGCCUACUGUAUCCAGUGUUCUGUUGCAUCCGGUGCGACCUCAAAGAAUACCUUCUUCUACCUGGGCGUUGAGCGCCUCAGGGUUUGCGAGGUGCAGCGCCUGGGGUGGAAGCAGUUCAACUACACGAUGAUGAAGUGAGUGAAGGGGUUAAGACGGUUGCGUUGUGCGUGCGCUUGCUUGCUGUUUUGCAGAGAAGUUCAGUUGCCUUGCGUAUGGCUUUACCAACAGUUCUUUUGUGCAGUUGACAUAAUGGGCCAUAUGAUUCUUGGCAGGGAAGAAGCUAUUUGGGCUGAAUCAGACGAGGUGCUGGAGCAGAUUGGGAAGGGCUCCUUUGGCUCUGCGCUCCUGGUGAGGCACAAGGUUGAGAGGAAGAGGUAUGUCUUGAAGAAGAUCCGGCCUGCCUGUCAGACCGUCAGGUGCCGGCGAUCCGCGCACCAAGAGAUCGAGCUCAUCGCAAAAGAAAGGAGCCCUUACAUCGUGGAAUACAAAGAUUCUUGGGUGGAGAAGGGGUGCUAUGUGUGCAUCAUGAUUGGUUACUGCAGGGGAGGGGACAUGCUAGAGGCCAUUAAGAAGGCUAACGGCAACCAUUUCUCGGAGGAGGUGCUCAACUACUUUAAACUCUGUGUGUGGCUUGUGCAGCUCCUGAUGGCGCUUGAUUACUUGCAUGCCAAUCAUAUACUUCAUCGAGAUGUCAAGUGUUCAAAUAUAUUUCUUACAAAGGACCAAAAUAUACAGAUCGGUGAUUUUGGGCUGGCUAAAGUGUUUACUUCUGAUGAUUUAGCUUUGUCGGUUGUAGGAACUCCCAGUUACAUGUGCCCUGAACUUGUUCCUGACAUUCCAUAUGGCUCCAAGUCCGACGUGUGGUCGUUAGGCAAGUAUUCCUAUCUAAUAUUCAGUCACAUGUCUUGCUCUGAAUGUCGCAUUAUUCUCUUGUCUAAACAUCUGCAAUUUUCAGGAUGCUGCAUCUAUGAGAUGACUGCGCUGAAGCAUGCGUUCAGUGCAUUUGAUAUGCAGACACUGAUAAACAAGAUUAACAAGUCUGUUGUCGCCCCUCUACCGACUAUAUAUUCUGGCGCAUUUAGGGGACUCAUCAAAAGCAUGCUGCGCAGAAAUCCAGAUCACAGACCGUGAUGUAGAUCUGCUAAACUAUCCGCAUCUUCAGCCCUAUGUGUUGGAAAUCCAAUCGAAAAGUCCGGCUUGCAAUAUGUUCCCAGCUAUACUUCCUAACAGACAUGAAAAAAAACAAGACUGUGUGUUCUGAUGAUAAAGACAAUUGCAAACCCCGAUAUAUUAAGAGUCAUUCAUUUAAAGUACAGAGGAUUGUGGAACUUGACAAUGCCACUGCUAACCAUGGCCCUCCUCAGUCUACCAGAACAGCAAAAGAUUGUUCAGAACUGCUUCAUCAAGAGAUGGGUCGGUUACCAGUCCAGGUCACCAAGGAAGUUGUCAAAGAAGCGAUGCAGGAUAAACAUUCAAAAGAAACAAGAUCACCGGGACCUACUCCACGAAGGGCGUCCUCGACUCCUAGGAGACGGCUAGAACCUGCAAAAACAUUUCAUGCUAGAAUAGCUCAUAAAGAGGUGCAGCCUCCGCCGUCAAGGUCUUCAGUGGACUAGACAAUACAAGCUACACGGCGAGCAUCACUUUCCCCACACAUGUUCAAAGCAGCUGAGAAGAGGCGAAUCGCCGACAUUCUCACCGGAUUGAAGUCUCCUGAUGUUUCAGUUAACGCACCUUGAAUCGACAGAAUUGCUGAGUUCCCACUGGCAUCAUCUGAAGAUCCAUUGCAUCCCAUCAUGAAGCUCUUGCCACCAUCUAUCAGUGACAAAUCAAUCACCAAGGACAAAUGCACUUUCCAAGUGCUCCGGGGGGACAGCGAAAGCCACACCAACACUCGUGAUUUGAACCUGCUCAGUAUCGACAAUAAUCAACUCGGAAGUUCGUCCGAUUGGAGGCAGAAGAGGUUCGACACGACGACCUACCGGCAGCGAGCUGAGGCUCUAGAGGACUUGCUUGAGUUCAGUGCCCCAUUGAUCCAACGAGAGAGAGAGA